rnacentral:rRNA from 1 species
GGUGGAAUUGUAAGUCAGAGGUGAAAACCAUAGGCUUAACUUGUGGCCUGCCUUUGAAACUGCGAUUCUUGAGUGCGGUAGAGGGAAGCGGAAUUCCUGGUGUAGCGGUGAAAUGCGUAGAUAUCAGGAAGAACACCGGUAGCGAAGGCGGCUUCCUGGGCCGUAACUGACACUGAGGCGCGAAAGUGUGGGGAGCAAACAGGAUUAGAUACCCUGGUAGUCCACACUGUAAACGAUGGGCACUAGGUGUUGAUUCGCCAACAAGCGGAUCAGUGCCGCAGCUAACGCAUUAAGUGCCCCGCCUGGGGAGUACGAUCGCAAGGUUGAAACUCAAAGGAAUUGACGGGGGCCCGCACAAGCGGUGGAGCAUGUGGUUUAAUUCGAUGCAACGCGAAGAACCUUACCUGGGCUUGAAGUGCAGUCGCAAUUCGCCGAAAGGCGAACCUCCUUCGGGACGGCUGUAGAGGUGCUGCAUGGCUGUCGUCAGCUCGUGCCGUGAGGUGUUGGGUUAAGUCCCGCAACGAGCGCAACCCUUGCCCUUAGUUGCCAUCAGGUUAUGCUGGGCACUCUAAGGGGACUGCCCCGAAUAACGGGGAGGAAGGUGGGGAUGACGUCAAGUCCUCAUGGCCCUUACGUCCAGGGCUACACACGUGCUACAAUGGCAAGUACAACGGGAAGCAAUACCGCGAGGUGGAGCAAAUCCCUAAAAACUGGUCUCAGUUCGGAUUGCAGUCU